rnacentral:pre_miRNA from 1 species
CUAAGCCGUCGCCCCGGCGGAGGCCGGGGCCGCAGGCGGCUCCUGCGGUACGCGAUCCUCUAGCGGCCCCGGCCUCCGCCGGGGCGACGAUAUGA